GGGUUGUGAGGUUAAGCGACUAAGCGUACACGGUGGAUGCCCUGGCAGUCAGAGGCGAUGAAGGACGUGCUAAUCUGCGAUAAGCGUCGGUAAGGUGAUAUGAACCGUUAUAACCGGCGAUUUCCGAAUGGGGAAACCCAGUGUGAUUCGUCACACUAUCAUUAACUGAAUCCAUAGGUUAAUGAGGCGAACCGGGGGAACUGAAACAUCUAAGUACCCCGAGGAAAAGAAAUCAACCGAGAUUCCCCCAGUAGCGGCGAGCGAACGGGGAGCAGCCCAGAGCCUGAAUCAGUGUGUGUGUUAGUGGAAGCGUCUGGAAAGGCGCGCGAUACAGGGUGACAGCCCCGUACACAAAAAUGCACAUAUUGUGAGCUCGAUGAGUAGGGCGGGACACGUGGUAUCCUGUCUGAAUAUGG
rnacentral:rRNA from 1 species